CCAGACUCCUACGGGAGGCAGCAGUGGGGGAUAUUGCACAAUGGGGGAAACCCUGAUGCAGCGAUGCCGCGUGAAUGAAGACGGCCUUCGGGUUGUAAAGUUCUGUCGCAGGGGACGAAAAUGACGGUACCCUGCAAGAAAGCUCCGGCUAACUACGUGCCAGCAGCCGCGGUAAUACGUAGGGAGCAAGCGUUGUCCGGAAUUACUGGGUGUAAAGGGAGCGUAGGCGGGAGGAUAAGUUGAAUGUGAAAUCUAUGGGCUCAACCCAUAGCUGCGUUCAAAACUGUUCUUCUUGAGUGAAGUAGAGGCAGGCGGAAUUCCUAGUGUAGCGGUGAAAUGCGUAGAUAUUAGGAGGAACACCAGUGGCGAAGGCGGCCUGCUGGGCUUUUACUGACGCUGAGGCUCGAAAGCGUGGGUAGCAAACAGGAUUAGAUACCCUAGUA
rnacentral:rRNA from 1 species